GGGGUUGCGCUAGUGAGUUG
rnacentral:misc_RNA from 1 species